rnacentral:rRNA from 1 species
GACGAACGCUGGCGGCGUGCUUAACACAUGCAAGUCGAGCGGAAAGGCCACUUCGGUGGUACUCGAGCGGCGAACGGGUGAGUAACACGUGAGUAAUCUGCCCCUGGCUUUGGGAUAGCCACCGGAAACGGUGAUUAAUACCGGAUACGACCACUUCUCGCAUGGGAUGGUGGUGGAAAGUUUUUUCGGCCAGGGAUGUGCUCGCGGCCUAUCAGCUUGAUGGUGAGGUAAUGGCUCACCAUGGCUGCGACGGGUAGCCGGCCUGAGAGGGUGACCGGUCACACUGGGACUGAGACACGGCCCAGACUCCUACGGGAGGCAGCAGUGGGGAAUAUUGGACAAUGGGCGGAAGCCUGAUCCAGCAACGCCGCGUGAGGGAUGACGGCCUUCGGGUUGUAAACCUCUUUCAGCAGGGACGAAGCGCAAGUGACGGUACCCGCAGAAGAAGCACCGGCCAACUACGUGCCAGCAGCCGCCGUAA